CGUAUCUUGAUUGGUAGUCGAGUUCCGAUAGUUCGAGAUUAGUAACGUGAUGAUGUGUGCGAGAUUAUUACCGGCGAAUUAGUUUUGUGCAUAAUUUGCAUAUUACAUCGUGGAUCACAUCGUAGGAAGAAAUACGGCUGUGCCUAAUUUAACAUUAGUAUAACACUAUGCGUCGUAUAAUCAGCUAUAUUAAAAGAAAGAGAGCAAGAAACGCUUUAUUAGAAUCUAAAGUAGAAGAAUAGAAAAAGGAAAGAGAAAUAAGGAAAGAGAAAUAUAAUUAACGUUAAAGCUCAGAAUUUACAAUGUGCCCGACAAAAUAUGUGGACUUUGAAGAUAUCAAAUAAAGUAAUUUUAUCAAAAAAGUGAUAGGAUGAAGUAAACAAUUUAUUUGUGACAGAAAGUAUUUGUAUUACAAGAUCUAACUUGUUCCGAGAAAUUUUUUGCAAAAGAUUUAUAAAAAACAAGCUAUUUGAGUGGUGUAUGCUGUUGUUGAUAGAUAAAAAGUUUACCGAGGUUCAUCCCCUUUUAAAUGCAGCAAACUAUCAUAUAAAGAAUUGACAGGGCAAUACACAUCAAAAGAAUUAUCUGAAGGUGUACUUUCUAGUUCUUCAAGUAUGUCACUAUCUUAUGACAGACCAGAUUAUUAAAACAGGUAAAAAGUGUGAAAUCUUGUUUGAAACAAUUACAACAAAUAUACAGACUAUAAUGUCACUCAACUGGCCUACCAAUGAUGUGGUCACAGGUUGUAAUAUCAGAGAUUUUAUAUGGAUGCCAAGGAUCAUGCAUUCUAUGUGAACUAGAUAUAUGGCACAGAAAUAUACCAAUAAAGCUCUUAGUCAAAUCGAAAACUAAAAAUUUUUGUCUUUUAACAGAUGGCGUGAAUUGUAGCAAAACACAUUCCAGCACAACUUUUUCAACACGUUUGAUCAUUUCAACAUUCGCAUGCGUGAUCGUUUCGCGACACAUAUGUAAUUCUCGCAGAAUUGAAUGAUGCUUCGUCACUUUUGCGAACCUAAUCUUGGCUAAUUUGUUAAUUUGCGAGAACUAAGACACUCAAAGGACCACACAUUGACGCACGGAUAACAAAAAAUAUAGUAGGCUACAUGGUCUUUUGCACUUGUGCGGAUGAAUACAUCUUGUGCACAAAAAACCAAUGUCUUAGUGCAAUGAUCUGAUUCAUAUUAAAAAAUCUUACAAUUUUUUAAAAAGUUAUAAAAUUACACAAAAGGUAUUCUAAGAAAAUCUGAAAUUAAAAUAUAAAACAAAUAUUGACUACGAGCAACAGUUUUACAUUUUAGACAUCCACUUUUAAUUUAGAGGACAAAGUAAAUUGAAAUUACAGAUAAUUUGCAAUGCGUUUAACAUUAUCUUAAAUAAAGUUUCUGUACACAAAUUUCCAGACUCUUAUUGGCAAUUUUCUUCUUAAUAUAUUAUUAAAAUAUAAAAAUUUUAAAAAAUUAUAUGAAGAAUCAUAAGAAAUUUUUUCUCCAGAGAUUACUCUAAGAGAACAGAUACAUUUCAAGUUGUAUGCACAUGUUAUAUGGACAAUGUGGACAGGAAUUUAUCAUUAUAUAAUGUCCACAUGAAUGUAACGUUGUGAUUUCAUUUCUAAAUCGAUAGAUUUAAAUGUUCCUUUUAACGUGAAUUCUACAUGGACAAUUUCAUAUCAAUUUUAAUUUAUGUAUGAUUAACGCGUAUGAAGCAUAUUAAUAUCAUUAAUAUAAUUUAACGAAGGUAAAAAUAGGAGACAGUAACGGGGAAUUCACGUGUAAGUAAAUUCAUAUUGAUUUUAUUCAAUGCAAUCCACAUAGUAAUAGUACUCAGGCCUGUCGACAGAUAAACAUAUAUAGUAGAACUAUAUUUCUCAUGUAUAUAAAAAUAUAAAAUAAAAUAAAAGGUUCAACAUUAUUUUAUGGCCUUUUGCUAUGGUAUUUUGCUCGUGUUUUAAAGAAAGGAUUCCUGAAAAUAAAUCUCCAAAAUUGAAUUCUCUCUUUAAGAUAUUUUAUAU
rnacentral:lncRNA from 1 species